UACGAAGGGGCUAGCGUUGUUCGGAAUGACUGGGCGUAAAGCGCACGUAGGCGGCUUGUUUAGUCAGGGGUGAAAUCCCGGGGCUUAACCCCGGAACUGCCUUUGAUACUGGCAGGCUUGAGUCCGGAAGAGGGUGACGGAAUACCCAGUGUAGAGGUGAAAUUCGUAGAUAUUGGGUAGAACACCAGUGGCGAAGGCGGUCACCUGGUCCGGUACUGACGCUGAGGUGCGAAAGCGUGGGGAGCAAACAGG
rnacentral:rRNA from 1 species